GGGUAGAAUUCCAGGUGUAGCGGUGAAAUGCGUAGAGAUCUGGAGGAAUACCGGUGGCGAAGGCGGCCCCCUGGACGAAGACUGACGCUCAGGUGCGAAAGCGUGGGGAGCAAACAGGAUUAGAUACCCUGGUAGUCCACGCCGUAAACGAUGUCGACUUGGAGGUUGUGCCCUUGAGGCGUGGCUUCCGGAGCUAACGCGUUAAGUCGACCGCCUGGGGAGUACGGCCGCAAGGUUAAAACUCAAAUGAAUUGACGGGGGCCCGCACAAGCGGUGGAGCAUGUGGUUUAAUUCGAUGCAACGCGAAGAACCUUACCUGGUCUUGACAUCCACAGAACUUUCCAGAGAUGGAUUGGUGCCUUCGGGAACUGUGAGACAGGUGCUGCAUGGCUGUCGUCAGCUCGUGUUGUGAAAUGUUGGGUUAAGUCCCGCAACGAGCGCAACCCUUAUCCUUUGUUGCCAGCGGUCCGGCCGGGAACUCAAAGGAGACUGCCAGUGAU
rnacentral:rRNA from 1 species